rnacentral:rRNA from 1 species
UGGCGAACGGGUGAGUAACACGUGGGUAACCUGCCCAUCAGAAGGGGAUAACACUUGGAAACAGGUGCUAAUACCGUAUAACACUAUUUUCCGCAUGGAAGAAAGUUGAAAGGCGCUUUUGCGUCACUGAUGGAUGGACCCGCGGUGCAUUAGCUAGUUGGUGAGGUAACGGCUCACCAAGGCAACGAUGCAUAGCCGACCUGAGAGGGUGAUCGGCCACACUGGGACUGAGACACGGCCCAGACUCCUACGGGAGGCAGCAGUAGGGAAUCUUCGGCAAUGGACGAAAGUCUGACCGAGCAACGCCGCGUGAGUGAAGAAGGUUUUCGGAUCGUAAAACUCUGUUGUUAGAGAAGAACAAGGAUGAGAGUAAAACGUCAUCCCUUGAC